CCUCUCUGGUGCCUAAAUUGUUCCCCCUGUUAAUUUCCUCUUCCUUCACUGUCCAGUGCUUUUAAGUGCAGCAGGACAGGUGGAUGGCUGAGCCAGUGUGUUCAAAUAUUGAAGGCUUGGGAGGGGACAGAGCAAAAAUCUGGGAGUAAAAAUAGAAAACAAACUCCCUAAUUGCCAGGUAUCAUGGGCAUACGGGAAGGAAACUCAGCAGGGGGUGUUGUUGCCACAGACGUCACAGUUAAAAACACGCUGCCAUCCGCAGGGCAAUUCAGCUCAGUUGCACAUUAUGGUUUAAUGAUGGCAUAGGGAUGACUCACAUGCAACACUGAUUCACUUUACAUUAGACACUUAAUCACAGCAGCUAUUAUCCCCACUUUGUGUUGAUAGAAGUACCGAAUACCACAAGACUUGCAUUCAGAAGAUGCGAAACAUUUACUCACUGAGAGUUACCAGUUGAGUUAUGUGUGUUUUUGCAGGUGUGGGAGGGUUGCCGGCUACUGUCAGCCUUUCUUAUUUAGCGCCAUGCUGCAAAGCUGGAGAAGCAGCCAAGUCUUUCUUUCAUCUGUCAUUGCAGCCUCCAAGGCAGGUCCACGUGAAAAGAGAUUAUUUCGAGGUGUUUUGCUGUAUGUAAUUUUAAAUGAAUUGAUUGUUAGAUUUUGGGGAAAACAUGUAAAAGUCACAAAUCUUUACCAUUUUUUUAAUUACUACUCUGUUUUGGAGAAAUCUAAAAGACUGUGUAGAAUUCGACCACUAGGUGAAGCUGCAAUGGACACAAAAGGGUUUUGUCUAAAAACUGCUGAUGUAUUUACCACAAAUAAAUUAUUAGAGUCUGGGAAACACUUGACUGAAGAAGCCCUAAUAUGAUUCGAUUUUACAGAAAGAUUUUUUUUUUUUUUCACAGUCAAUUAUUUUUUUUGAACCUUCACCAAAAGUGGCACGGAUAAUCUUCAGACCAAGUUGCUGGUUUAACUUUUUAAACCUGUUUUAUUAUGGGAAAUCCAAAUCGGAUGGAAAUGUGUUACACAGGAACUUUGAGGUAAUAAUCUCGUCAACCAUUUUUAGUACUAAAGAAAAGAUGCACGUAUUUUCAUGAAGGUGAAGCUGGUGUGGAAUUGCCUUAAACCUGGAUUCUUUCUAAUGGUGGGCAGCUCCUCUGGUUAACAAAAGUCUGGCUGCAUUGAAGACCAUGGGCAAAUGACUUGGUUUCCUUAUUUCUGAUAAGUUUAUAGUCUAAAUCUCUAGUUAUACAUUAUAUUUCACAAUAUUAUAUAGAUAUUAUAAAUUAUGGUCCCUAUUUUAUUAAAAAAGAAAAGUAAAGUAGGGUAUUUUUCAGGUUGGGCCUACUUUAUGAUUGAUUAGCUACUCCUGUGAGUGCAGAGCAGUCAAAUCCUCACUUUUCAGUUAAAAAACAAAAAAACACAAAAAAAUAGUCCCUCUUUUAUAUACAUGCAAUAUAUGAUUGACACCAAACUUUAUUUAAGGAGUUGAACCAUUCUCUGACGUAACAAAGUGUAAUUUGUACAUUUAUGAAACAGAAAAUUCGUAUUUUUCCUGGACCUGCUUAAAGCUACAUUUGACAUAAUCAGAUCAAGUUGCCUUAGCGACUAUACCCUGCUGAAUUGCUUGGCCCGCUCAUCGCUGUUUGAAACGACACAUUUAUAGAAUUGAGUUGGAUGAAUGAAUAAAGUACUAAUGGUUUUGCCUCAGACGCCUAUCACAUAACUAUUCCAUUCAACUUACUAAUUAACUGUUACAAAAAAUGUUCACGUUUAGUGAAAGAAAUCUUUAGAAGCUUCAGUGGAACUAGUCAAAAUUCUGAUUGUGAAUACUAUGAUUAACCCUCUCCACUCACCAUAACAAAGAAAAAGACUAGAUGAAUAUAAGAUUCUUUCAUUAACGCAUCCAUUAAUGUGCAAUUUAAAGAUUGCUUAAAAACUGCAGGGCUAACCAAGGCUUUUAGAUAAACCUGUUUAUCAGGUGUUAUCUUUUUCCUCCAGUAUUAUAAGCUUUGAUACCAAUUUGUUACACUUCUUAAUAAUGAAGCAUCAAAAAAGGUAGAACAAGAUAGUCAUUAAUUCGUUUUCUCACCUACUAGCCUUAAGUAGCCAGCGUGCAGUUACUGUUUAUGUAAUGAAAUAAAGAUGCUAUAAAGCUAUAUAAUAGUCUUAACUCCACUUUGGCCAAAUAGUUGAAGGUCAGAGUUUGUG
ensembl:lncRNA